UGUAGACAUCCAUUAUUCCUCCACCAUGUCACUUCUUCAGGUGGAGGAAUGUACAUGUUUUUGCCUGAACAAGUGAGGGAGGAUGAAACUUGCAGUGAACUGCGUUCACGGGGGUUAGGAACCCUUAUAGCUCAGCUUCUAACAUAAAAGGAGAUUGCAAAUGAGAUUAGUACUUACACUUGAACUACACUCAAAAACUGGAUCUGGUUCUGCUCUUGACUGUCUGAUUGGUGGAAACUGACUCAAACAGCCCAUCUGCACCACUGUGGGAUAACAGGAAGUUUUUUUUAUUUGAAAGGUAAACACUAAAAGAAUGACAUGAAUAAAGUGUUUUUUAUUUUAUACUGAUGCUUUUUUAGACUGGCGUAAACAGGAAAAAAUGCAUACUCACUACAGGAUUUGGUUUAAGUAAUCAGUUAGUUGUGUUACAGCUGUUUAAAUGUUUUUGUUUAGUGAUCCUCAUGAGGAUUUUUUGCAGCAGCAGCAGCAGUGAAACAUGAAGCAUGAGUAAUGGUGAGAUUAUGAGCUUCAGCCGCCAGCUGCCUCCAGACGAACCGUUCCGGACCUACACAGACCUGCAGAACCGCUGGAAACGCCUGUAUGGAUACAGGCUCCCGGAGCAGGGGGAGGACGAGGUGGUGUACUGCAACAUCUGCUUCCAACCGAUGGGAGAGCGACUCUACACGUAUCCCUGAACUCAGUCAGGUGAAGGAAUGAUACCGACCAGAAACACACGAGCUCUGAGGGGUUUUACUGCAAGCGAUCUCUGUGUGAUCCCCUGCAUCGAGAAAAUCUCAACAUUCACAAAACAAAACAAAGCUUUUCUAUUGUACUUUCAUUUAUCCAGAAAAAAAUAUAAGAAGAUAAAACUUGUUAGACCAAACAAAUUUCACAUCUGUGAGUCCAGUUUCCUCUGUGAAAGUGUAAGUGUAGAUUAAAAUGUUGAUUUUUUUUAAUAUUUAGAAUAUUGUGCCAAGGAUU